AGCAGCCGCCACGGUAAUACGGAGGGAGCUAGCGUUGUUCGGAAUUACUGGGCGUAAAGCGCGCGUAAGCGGUUACUCAAGUCAGAGGUGAAAGCCCGGGGCUCAACUCCGGAACUGCCUUUGAAACUAGGUGACUAGAAUCUUGGAGAGGUCAGUGGAAUUCCGAGUGUAGAGGUGAAAUUCGUAGAUAUUCGGAAGAACACCAGUGGCGAAGGCGACUGACUGGACAAGUAUUGACGCUGAGGUGCGAAAGCGUGGGGAGCAAACAGGAUUAGAUACCCGAGUAGUCCCUGUCUCUUAUAC
rnacentral:rRNA from 1 species